rnacentral:tRNA from 1 species
UCGGGAUAGGUCAGCC